rnacentral:lncRNA from 1 species
CCCAUUUGAUCUUGCUCUGUCUCCUUCAUCCUUCAUGUUUUUGGAUUCUCAGUGAGAAUCACUGAAGAGGAGUGUUGCACUGAGCAGUUGUCUGUCCAAGACAGGGCCUGAUCCACACUACCACACUGGACAGCAACUUAUGUGGAUAUUAAUUGAUGGUAUUGCAUAUGGCAAGUGUACUAAAAUCUGCCUGCUAUAGCAAGAAUAAUCGUCUUCUGGGCAAACAAGAAGCUGUCUAUGGUGGAGUAGGUUGCAAGACUCUCCUUUGUAUGUAUUGAUUGAGGAAGUCCAUUUUUUGCUCCCCGUAUCCUUCAGUUCCCUCAUUCUGAUUGGAUAGAUAUGGGGGCAUAGAAAUGUGGGGAAAGCAAGGAGGAGAAAAAUGGACAGUGAACCUUCCUCACUCGCUGCAGCCAGGGACAUCACUGCAGCAGAGCUUUCCGUGAGUGUGACCUGAAACCAUGGGAUCAUCUUCUGCAAGUAGGUGUUUAAAUAGCAGCAACUUUCAGACAAAAAUGCAAACCAUUAAGAUUAAAAAAACAGCAACAACAAACAGCUUUUUCAGGAGCAAGCUCAAUUUAAUUAUAUGAAGGAUUCUAAGGUCUAUAAAAUCAGAUGGGCUGGCUGUGAGCAUAAUAGGAAUAUUUGAGUAUGUUUGGAUUAGGUAAGCUUUUGUCAUAUAUAUUCUAGGAUUAAUCUAAUCUAAAAGCCUGUUUUUUCAGCAGAGAUUCAUCAUUACUAGCAAAGCAGAUUUCAGAUUAGAAGGCAUCAGUGUUGCAUUCUUCUGCUGCUGUCCUUUGGAAAAUGUGACUUUGCCUUCAUUGCCUGUCCUUAAUUUUAUUGGGGAAACUUGCUGUGGGCACUAGUAGACUCUAAAGUGAAUAAUCUGAAACCACAUAGCCCCUUGUGGACACCAACAGAGAGCCCAUGGGAAUCUGAGCGUGUAAUAACCAUGAUUUAUUUUACUGAUGAUCAGAGACAGAUGAAGCUGCCAGUAUGUCAGUGACUGGGCAGACCUCUGGUGGGAAUAUAGAAACCUGACUGAGGAAGACCCUUGGCACAGUCCCUGACCAGCUCUUUAAAAGAAGGGGCUACCCUGACCUGUCUAUGACUUAUCUUAAGACAUGAAGCGUGAAGGCAUGUAAACUAGUAUGAAGACGAGGAACAACGUAGGUGCCAGGGUAGUCCUCCUGCUUGUCUCUGCUUCCCUACAGUCUACCUCAUGAAAAUCUCUUAAUCUUUCACAGACCCGCCUUGCGAACAACUGUUGUAAUUGGAUGAGCUACACAUCAGGUGCUGCAAUGGAAAAGUGUUGUGAGCAAGAGAGCCAGUAAAUUGCUGUGUUUUUUACCCUUGAGACUUCAGUGACCUCUGCCAUCGAUUGACUUCCUCGACUGUUCAUCAUGUUGGAGUUGUUAGGCAUCCUUAGGGCAGUUGUGAAGUACAGCAUCAGGGGAAUCAGCUGAUGGCAUGCCCUCUGCCUGGAGAGCCCCAGCCUUGCCCAAGCCUGCAGCUUGGGGCUUGUUCUGCAGGAGCAGCACAGACUUCUGGAGGAUUCCUUUGUACAAGCAUGAGCUUGCCAAGCUGGGCAGGAACAAGUAUGCCUAUGAGUGCAUUUCUGUCCAGAAGAUGAGUUGGCUGCACAUGAACCUUGACCAUUUCAAGUCUAAGACUGACGAGUAAGGAAAAUAAAGGUCUCAGCACUUAGCCCAUGAUGACCGUUUUGCAGAAAUAGAACGCCAAGCAAGAAGAACGAAGCCUGCAGGAGUACAAGGAGGAAAUGAAAGUUGCCGUACCGACAGGGCUACACAAAUCCCGCGAUGGGUGGAUUAGGCUGAGCGUUAUCAGUGAUGAUGAAACACAGCAGACUGUGGUAAUGAAAUAUUUAUGAAUGGGGAAAUGAUACUGCAUUCUGCAGUGCAGCACAGGGGAAAGUGAAAUUUCAAGAAUACUGUAAUAGCAAAGCCCUCCAUUAAUUAUCGAAAGCGAGCUGUAAUGCCAGUUACUAUGACAACAGGGUCCCCCUAUGCAUUUUGCACCAUUUUGAGG